GCGCUUCGGCGCACCCAGAAACCCUUUGUGAACUUAUACCUUACUGUUGCCUCGGCGCAGGCCGGCCCCUCCACCGGGGCCCCUCGGAGACGAGGAGCAGCCCGCCGGCGGCCAACCAAACUCUUGUUUCUUAGUGAAUCUCUGAGUAAAAAACAUAAAUGAAUCAAAACUUUCAACAACGGAUCUCUUGGUUCUGGCAUCGAUGAAGAACGCAGCGAAAUGCGAUAAGUAAUGUGAAUUGCAGAAUUCAGUGAAUCAUCGAAUCUUUGAACGCACAUUGCGCCCUCUGGUAUUCCGGAGGGCAUGCCUGUUCGAGCGUCAUUUCAACCCUCAAGCCUGGCUUGGUGUUGGGGCACUGCUUCGAGAGAAGCAGGCCCUGAAAUCUAGUGGCGAGCUCGCCAGGACCCCGAGCGUAGUAGUUAUAUCUCGUUCUGGAAGGCCCUGGCGGUGCCCUGCCGUUAAACCCCCAACUUCUGAAAUUUUGACCUCGGAUCAGGUAGGAAUACCCGCUGAACUUAAGCAUAUCA
rnacentral:rRNA from 1 species